AGUAAAUUGGUUAAGUUAGAAAGGGCGCACGGUGGAUGCCUUGGCACUAGGAGCCGAAGAAGGACGGGACUAACACCGAUAUGCUUUGGGGAGCUGUACGUAAGCGUUGAUCCAGAGAUUUCCGAAUGGGGGAACCCACUAUCUUUAGUCGGAUAGUAUCCUUACGUGAAUACAUAGCGUGAGGAAGGCAGACCCAGGGAACUGAAACAUCUAAGUACCUGGAGGAAGAGAAAGAAAAAUCGAUUUCCUGAGUAGCGGCGAGCGAAACGGAAAGAGCCCAAACCAAGAAGCUUGCUUCUUGGGGUUGUAGGACACUCUAUACGGAGUUACAAAAGAAAGUUAUAAAUGAAGCGGUCUGGAAAGGCCCGCCAAAGACGGUAACAGCCCGGUAGUUGAAAUAGCUUUCCCUCCAGAGUGGAUCCUGAGUACGGCGGAACACGUGAAAUUCCGUCGGAAUCCGGGAGGACCAUCUCCCAAGGCUAAAUACUCCCUAGUGACCGAUAGUGAACCAGUACCGUGAGGGAAAG
rnacentral:rRNA from 2 species